CCUACGGGGGGCUGCAGUGGGGAAUUUUGGACAAUGGGCGAAAGCCUGAUCCAGCCAUUCCGCGUGCAGGAUGAAGGCCCUCGGGUUGUAAACUGCUUUUGUACAGAACGAAAAAGCUCCGGCUAAUACCUGGAGUCCAUGACGGUACUGUAAGAAUAAGCACCGGCUAACUACGUGCCAGCAGCCGCGGUAAUACGUAGGGUGCAAGCGUUAAUCGGAAUUACUGGGCGUAAAGCGUGCGCAGGCGGUUUUGUAAGACAGAGGUGAAAUCCCCGGGCUCAACCUGGGAACUGCCUUUGUGACUGCAAGGCUGGAGUGCGGCAGAGGGGGAUGGAAUUCCGCGUGUAGCAGUGAAAUGCGUAGAUAUGCGGAGGAACACCGAUGGCGAAGGCAAUCCCCUGGGCCUGCACUGACGCUCAUGCACGAAAGCGUGGGGAGCAAACAGGAUUAGAUACCCCAGUAGUC
rnacentral:rRNA from 1 species